rnacentral:tRNA from 1 species
AUUUAUUUAGUUUAUAUAAAACAUUACAUUUUCAUUGUAAAAUUAGAUUAAUAUUCUAAUAAAUA